UAGGCUAAGUGACAACAAGUGGAGAAAGGGC
rnacentral:piRNA from 1 species